GGAUGAUGGCAGAGCCUCCAGCCUCCAGAUGCCUCGGAGUAAAAGCAGGGUCUGUAGGGGAAAAGAGUACAAGGACCUCUUCUGAGCUGAGCUGCACCUGAGAUGAAACGGCAGGAUCAUAAAGGGACCAGCACCGUGAGUCAGGGCUUGAAGCAUAAUUGUACAUAAUUAAAUAUUCGAAUGUUACCACGGGACGGGCAAGACACUUCCUCAGUGACAGGUGAGGCCCUUCCUCAGGUGAAGGCACUUGUCCUGGAAGCCUAGAGACCUGAGCUCAUCCCUGGAAACUGUGUAAAAGUGGAAGUUGUUCUCGGACCUCCACAUGUGUGCCAGCCCCAAAUAGUAACUUUGUAAAGGUUGCCACUUAGCCCUAUGGUGGAAUGCUAGCCAGAACCGGAAAGAGCAGAGCCGUGGAUAGGGUCGGUAACAAAGAACCUUCAAAGCUUGG
rnacentral:lncRNA from 1 species